UGGGGAAUAUUGGACAAUGGGCGAAAGCCUGAUCCAGCCAUGCCGCGUGUGUGAAGAAGGUCUUCGGAUUGUAAAGCACUUUAAGUUGGGAGGAAGGGCAUUAACCUAAUACGUUAGUGUUUUGACGUUACCGACAGAAUAAGCACCGGCUAACUCUGUGCCAGCAGCCGCGGUAAUACAGAGGGUGCAAGCGUUAAUCGGAAUUACUGGGCGUAAAGCGCGCGUAGGUGGUUUGUUAAGUUGGAUGUGAAAUCCCCGGGCUCAACCUGGGAACUGCAUUCAAAAGUGACUGACUAGAGUAUGGUAGAGGGUGGUGGAAUUUCCUGUGUAGCGGUGAAAUGCGUAGAUAUAGGAAGGAACACCAGUGGCGAAGGCGACCACCUGGACUAAUACUGACACUGAGGUGCGAAAGCGUGGGGAGCAAACA
rnacentral:rRNA from 1 species